UUGCUUCCUUCUACCAAUCACUAAAAAUAUACACUUUUCUGGGACUUCAAAUUUAUCUAGAGAUGGGAAUUAAACCAUAUGAUAUGAGGUAGGCUCAAUUUCCCCAUCAAAUUGCCUUCUAAAUUUUCUACUCCCAAAGCUCAACACUUGCACUCAUUGGCUUCCAAGAUCUCACCACAAACAAAAUUACUUGGUUAUAAACUGCCUUCUUUUUACACUUCACUCACCUGCCUCUUCUCUCUCUCACUCCUUCACUACCUUCCAACCACAUCACCACCUUUAAUUUCUUCUCACCUUAUAUAUUUUUUUCCUAAACUUGCUGAUUCCAUUCUCUAAGCCCAUUCAUUCCCUCUGCUCUCAUAAUGAAGAAUGGAUGAAUGAAUGAAUAUCUUUUUUGUCAUUUGCCUCAGUUCCUCAGCUGGAUGCAAACUAAAAUUUCUGGAAAACAAGAUAACAGAAAACCAGACACUUAUACAACUACUACUUAUGAUGGAAAACAAGAGGGUCGAGAAGAGUUCAGCGAUUGGCCUGAUGGCUUGCUGGCUAUCGGUACAUUUGGAAAUAACAAGGAAGCAAUAGAGAAGUGCAUCACUACUAAAGAGGAACCAUCCUCCUCUGAGCAAAUUCCUGACUUCACUCUUGAAGAAAUUGGGAAGCUACAAAAAGAGCUCACUAAACUGUUGAGACAAAAACCUAAAGUGGAAAAGGAAAUCGCCCACCUUCCUCUCGACAGAUUCCUCAAUUGUCCAUCAAGCUUGGAGGUUGAUCGGAGAAUCAGCAACGUAGUUUGCACUGAUUCUGAAAAUAAAGAUGACCACGACGAAGAAGAAGAAAAACAAGAACGAGAAGAAGAUGAUGAUGAUGAUGAAGAAGACAUUGAAAAGACUCUCGGUGUCAUACUUGGCAAAUUCAAAGAGAUUUGUGCAAAAAAAAGUAAGAAAGCAAUUGGGAAGAAAUCAAUUUCGUUUUUGCUGAAGAAGAUGUUCGUUUGUAGAAGUGGUUUUUCCCCAACAUCCAGCCUUAGAGAUACCCUUCAACUACAGGAGUCAAGAAUGGAGAAGCUUUUGAGGACGAUUCUUCACAAGAAAAUAAACACCCAGCAUUCUUCUCGGGCACUGUCCCUGAAGCGACUGGAAGACAGGAGGAAGAUGCCGAUGGAGGAGGAAGCAGAGGCUGAAACUGAUGACGGCGGUAAAUGGGUCAAGACUGAUUCUGAAUAUAUUGUUUUAGAGAUUUAACAAAUCCACCUCAAUUUUUAACUGCUCUUUCUUUACAUCUCUGUCAGGUAAGAUUAAAUCAAGAAGCAAGAAGAUUAUACAAAGCAUCACGAGGGAGCGUGAAAUGAAACUCAUUUUUUUAUGAGAGUUUAUCUGUGAUCUUGCACUGGAUCAUCAGUGUCAAUCUCUCUGCUCUGUCAACACCUACCGCUUCCCUUUGUUUUUUUUUUUUUUUUUUUUCAUGAUUGUUUCUGAGUAUGCAGAGCAACUCAUGUUAUAGUUAAUCGUAAACAUCAUAACUCCUAUCAUCACCAAUGGUCAAACCUAUACAUUCUGAACCCACUCUCUUAUUUGCUAAUUUCUUAUCUACUCUCCUUGUAAUAUCAUUGUCACUCAAUAAUAUUCACAACAACAUGGA